rnacentral:misc_RNA from 1 species
GAAAUGCGAUAAGUAAUGUGAAUUGCAGAAUUCAGUGAAUCAUCGAAUCUUUGAACGCACAUUGCGCCCGCCAGUAUUCUGGCGGGCAUGCCUGUCCGAGCGUCAUUUCAACCAUCAAGCCCCCGGGCUUGUGUUGGGGACCUGCGGCUGCCCGCAGGCCCUGAAAACCAGUGGCGGGCUCGCUGUCACACCGAGCGUAGUAGCAAUCACCUCGCUCAGGGCGUGCUGCGGGUUCCGGCCGUUAAACAGCCUUACAAAACCCAAGGUUGACCUCGGAUCAGGUAGGAAGACCCGCUGCACUUAGGC